rnacentral:snRNA from 1 species
AUCGCUUCUCGGCCUCUCAAGGCUAAGAUCAAGUGUAGUAUCUGUUCUUAUUGGUUUAAUAACCAAUAUGUCUCACAUCGUGGGACUUAUCUAUUAAACAUAUUUUUGUUUGGAGGAGUCAGAUUACGAGCUUGCUCUGUCUGUUCCACGCAUUGUCCUGGUAUUGCAUUAUCUCCAGGAUCAGUGCACCUCUU